UUUUUGAAUUAAUAUAAAGUCUAAUCUGCCCACUGAUAAAUUAUUAAAGGGCUGCAGUAUUUUGACUGUACAAAGGUAGCAUAAUCAUUUGUCUCUUAAUUGGUGACUUGUAUGAAAGAUUGGAUGAAAUAUGAACUGUCUCAUUAUAAUAAGUAAAAUUUAAUUUUUUAGUAAAAAAGCUAAAAUAAUUUUAAAAGACGAGAAGACCCUAUAGAGUUUAAUAAUUAUUUUUAUAUAAGAAAAAAUAUAAAAAUUUAAAUUUAAAUAAAAGUAGUUAUUUUGUUGGGGUGAUAGAAAAAUUAAAUUAACUUUUUUUAAUAGAUAUACCUUAAUAAGUGAUUAAAUGAUCCAUUAAUAAUGAUUAGAAGAAAAAAUUACCUUAGGGAUAACAGCGUAAUUUUUUUUUUUAGGCCAAAUAAGAAAAAGAGUUUGCGACCUCGAUGUUGGAUUAAGAUAAAAUUUAAAUGUAAAAGUUUAAAGUUUUGAUCUGUUCGAUCAUUAAAA
rnacentral:rRNA from 1 species